rnacentral:rRNA from 1 species
GGCUUUCCCUUCCGGACAGAGUGACAGGUGGUGCAUGGUUGUCGUCAGCUCGUGUCGUGAGAUGUUGGGUUAAGUCCCGCAACGAGCGCAACCCUUGAUCUUAGUUGCCAGCAUUCAGUUGGGCACUCUAAGGUGACUGCCGGUGACAAACCGGAGGAAGGUGGGGAUGACGUCAAAUCAUCAUGCCCCUUAUGACCUGGGCUACACACGUGCUACAAUGGACAGAACAAAGGGCUGCGAGACCGCAAGGUUUAGCCAAUCCCACAAAUCUGUUCUCAGUUCGGAUCGCACUCUGCAACUCGACUGCGUGAACCUGGAAUCGCUAGUAAUCGCGGAUCAGCAUGCCGCGGUGAAUACGUUCCCGGGUCUUGUACACAACCGA